GACGAACGCUGGCGGCGUGCUUAACACAUGCAAGUCGAACGAAGAGCGAUGGAAGCUUGCUUCUAUCAAUCUUAGUGGCGAACGGGUGAGUAACGCGUAAUCAACCUGCCCUUCAGAGGGGGACAACAGUUGGAAACGACUGCUAAUACCGCAUACGAUCUAAUCUCGGCAUCGAGGAUAGAUGAAAGGUGGCCUCUACAUGUAAGCUAUCACUGAAGGAGGGGAUUGCGUCUGAUUAGCUAGUUGGAGGGGUAACGGCCCACCAAGGCGAUGAUCAGUAGCCGGUCUGAGAGGAUGAACGGCCACAUUGGGACUGAGACACGGCCCAGACUCCUACGGGAGGCAGCAGUGGGGAAUCUUCCGCAAUGGACGAAAGUCUGACGGAGCAACGCCGCGUGAGUGAUGACGGCCUUCGGGUUGUAAAGCUCUGUUAAUCGGGACGAAAGGCCUUCUUGCGAACAGUUAGAAGGAUUGACG
rnacentral:rRNA from 1 species